rnacentral:rRNA from 1 species
UACGUAGGGUGCAAGCGUUGUCCGGAAUUAUUGGGCGUAAAGAGCUCGUAGGCGGUUUGUCGCGUCGGCUGUGAAAACCUGGGGCUUAACUCCGGGCCUGCAGCCGAUACGGGCAGACUAGAGUUCGGCAGGGGAGACUGGAAUUCCUGGUGUAGCGGUGAAAUGCGCAGAUAUCAGGAGGAACACCGGUGGCGAAGGCGGUUCUCUGGGCAUGUCCUGACGCUGAGGAGCGAAAGUGUGGGGAGCGAACAGG